AUGCCUGUCGGGACCCGA
rnacentral:snRNA from 1 species